AGGGUGAAGUCGUAACAAGGUAGCCGUAGGAGAACCUGCGGCUGGAUCACCUCCUUUCUAAGGAAUAAUACGGAAAACCUUGUACAUUUGCGAAAUCAAAACUUUGUUUAGUUUUGAGAGGUCUACUCUCAAACUUUGUUCUUUGAAAACUGGAUAAUAAGUAAUAUAUUAGUUUUAAAAGCCGAGAAAAACAUUGCGUUUUAAAGAGUUUUUUAAUAA
rnacentral:rRNA from 1 species